UCAGUUUAUGAUUUUACAUGUCAAAUUAUGUUCAGGAAAUUGUUUUAGCGUCACGUGAAUCAGUGAAGUAUUUCUGUGUUAGUAUCAUACAGGAAAUACAAUACAGUUCUCCGAAUUAUCGUAUUGAAAAUGGAUGCUAAGGUUCCGAUCAGUGAUUCUUCUGGAUCUAUGGCAGGGACUGAGAAGCCAAACGAAAAUUCAGCCAAAAGAAUAACUUGGAACAACAAAUACGAAUUCGCAUUCAACGUGAUCGGAUACAAUGUUGGAUUAGGAAAUAUUUGGAGAUUCACUUACCUUUGCUUUAAAAAUGGCGGCGGAGCCUUUCUCAUUCCAUACUUGCUGGUGGCGGCUUUUUGUGGCGUGCCCAUACUGUUUAUGGAGGUGGCGAUGGGACAAUAUACAAGGAGAGGUUGUAUUGCAGGAUGGGACAUUUUACCACUAAUGAGGGGGGUUGGAUAUUCAGCGAUGUUAAUGUCAACUUAUUUCCUUAUUUACUUCGCGUUAUCUAUUGGCUGGUGCAUCAUCUACUUGGCAAAAUCUUUCACGUUACAACCGUUACCUUGGGCAACAUGCGAUAACGAAUGGAACACAGAAAACUGUGUUCCCAUUACGGAACUUAAAGACUCAUCUGUGCUGAUCGGGCCAAUUGAAAAUGCAACUGAAGAAUUUACAAAUUCAUCGCUGCACGCGAUGAAUGCUUCCCGAAUCAACGAAACACUUUCUACGGCAGAAUUUUGGAACAAUUACGUUUUGCAACGAAGUGAUGGAAUCCAUGACAUGGGAACGUUUACAAAUUGGCCCAUGUUGGCCUGUUUCAUUGCCUCCUGGGUGAUGAAUUAUCUAUGUAUUGUAAAGGGGAUCAGAACUACCGGAAAGGUUGCAUAUAUCACCGUAUUGGUACCAUACAUAUUGAUGAUUGCAUUACUAAUCAGAGGACUAACUUUGGACGGUGCUGUAAACGGGAUUCUUUUCUAUAUCACCCCAAAUGCAACACGACUAGCUGAUCCAGAGGUAUGGUUGGAUGCUGGAAGUCAAGUUAUGUAUUCCCUUGGGUUGUGCUUUGGAUGUCUAGUUGGAUUUGGCAGCUAUAACAAACCAAACUUUGACUGCUACAAGAGCGCAUAUUUCUUUAUCGGCACAUGCUGCGGGAGCUCGUUAACAUUUGGAUUUGUGGUAUUCAGUUUUCUAGGCCACAUGGCAAAAGUACAAGGCAAACAUAUCAGAGACGUUGUUGAAGGGGGUCCAGGACUUGUAUUCCAAGUCUUCCCAGCCGAACUCGCCUUGUUGCCGGGUUCUCAAAUCUGGUCUGCAAUAUUUUUCCUUGCAUUGCUUGGACUAGCUAUAGAUGGAUCUUACGGAAUCAUUGAGGGAUGUAUCACAGCUCUGGCAGAUUAUUUUCCAAAAUACUUCGGGCAUAAGGGAACACACUUCUGGCGGGCGGGUUUGUGCUCCGUGCUCUUGAUAGUCGGUUUACCACAGCUAUUUGAUGGUGGAAUAUACAUUUUCGAGUUGCUGAAUCUUCACGGUGCAAGUGGAAUUUGUAUCUUGUGGGUUGGGUGUUUCGAAACCAUCGCGAUAGGUUGGUUAUAUGGUAUAGAUCGAUUUUUCGAUGACGUUGAAUUGAUGAUUGGAUACAGACCUCCGAUCGUUUUCAAGUAUUGUCUCAAAUUCGUAACACCAACAAUUUGUAUGAUUCGAGUUCUCCGAGUAUCAGUGGGUUACGCUGGAAUUUGCAUGCCGGAAGAAAGCGUCCCGUGGCCAUAUUCAUUGCUUGUUGCAUUGAGUAUUCUCCUCUUAAAAUGGGAAAUUACGUCUAUCCGUGGUGGGCGAACCUAAUUGGUUGGAUGCUUUCAGUUUCUGUGGUUGCAAGUAUUCCGUUCAUUGCAAUAAAAACAAUGUGGAGAGCCCCUGGAUCGUUGAAACAGAAAUGGCAACAUAGCAUCACAUCGAUCCACGUUAAAAGCAAGUUUCAGAUACCGGAUAAAAAUAUCGAGAACGACAGGAUAGCAAACGAGUCGUCAGUAAUGCUGUAACUCAUCUCUUUUUAUACAUUUAACCAAGAUAUUAAAUGUAGAAUGGAAACACAUUGAAUUUAUAUGAAACUAAUUUAAUAAUCUUUAAAUUAAAUAUUGAAAAUUUUCGGAAAUCAUUGGAAAGCAAAUCGGUCACAUAGCCGAAAAUGUGUUUUCCUAAUAACAACUAAAAAAACGGAUAGAAGCGGUUAUAAGUCUACACUUUUCAAUUUGCUUACGGUUACCCUGAGUCGAGUGCAAAAUCCUCUCAUACUCAGUAGAAACAUUAAUACAACGUAAUUUAUUAAUUGGAUGAAUCGCAUUUUGUUCCAUGUAUAUUUUCAAUGUGCUUUUCUGUGUAAAUUGUCAAAAUGUGCCCAAAAAUUGUAAUUGGCUAAUUGGUAAUAAAUAUCAAAUUUUCUUAAAAAUUAUGUUAUU